GCAUUAAUGGGGUAGUGGUAACCUGGGUCGUUGCCACUUGCUUUGUAAUUCGCGGGUUCGACCCGCCGGGGGUUCGAUUCCCCCUUAAUGCA